GAUGAACGCUGGCGGCGUGCCUAAUACAUGCAAGUCGAGCGAACAGAUGAGGAGCUUGCUCCUCUGACGUUAGCGGCGGACGGGUGAGUAACACGUGGAUAACCUACCUAUAAGACUGGGAUAACUUCGGGAAACCGGAGCUAAUACCGGAUAAUAUAUUGAACCGCAUGGUUCAAUAGUGAAAGACGGUUUUGCUGUCACUUAUAGAUGGAUCCGCGCCGCAUUAGCUAGUUGGUAAGGUAACGGCUUACCAAGGCAACGAUGCGUAGCCGACCUGAGAGGGGGAUAGGCCACCCGGGAACUGAGACACGGUCCAGACUCCUACGGGAGGCAGCAGUAGGGAAUGUUCCGCAAUGGGGGAAAGCCUGACGGAGCAACGCCGCGUGAGUGAUGAAGGUCUUCGGAUCGUAAAAAUCUGUUAUUAGGGAAGAACAAAUGUGUAAGUAACUAUGCACGUCUUGACGGUACCUAAUCAGAAAGCCACGGCUAACUACGUG
rnacentral:rRNA from 1 species